rnacentral:rRNA from 1 species
GAUGAACGCUGGCGGCGUGCUUAACACAUGCAAGUCGAACGGGAAACCUUUUAUUGAAGCUUCGGCAGAUUUAGCUGGUUUCUAGUGGCGGACGGGUGAGUAACGCGUGGGUAACCUGCCUUAUACAGGGGGAUAACAGUCAGAAAUGGCUGCUAAUACCGCAUAAGCGCACAGAGCUGCAUGGCUCAGUGUGAAAAACUCCGGUGGUAUAAGAUGGACCCGCGUUGGAUUAGCUAGUUGGUGGGGCAACGGCCCACCAAGGCGACGAUCCAUAGCCGGCCUGAGAGGGUGAACGGCCACAUUGGGACUGAGACACGGCCCAGACUCCUACGGGAGGCAGCAGUGGGGAAUAUUGCACAAUGGGGGAAACCCUGAUGCAGCGACGCCGCGUGAAGGAAGAAGUAUCUCGGUAUGUAAACUUCUAUCAGCAGGGAAGAUAGUGACGGUACCUGACUAAGAAGCC